rnacentral:tRNA from 1 species
AAAAAUUUAGUUAAUUAAUAAUAUCAGUUUGUCAAAUUGGAGUAAUCUUAAAAGUUAAUUUUUU